GCUUGACUAUGGAUACAUUAGCAUAGCAGAGUUGAACAAAAUCGAAAUCCCUCACUUCCAAUUAGGAGAUAAGAGCAGGCUUGGAUCCUGGCUUAUUUUGCUUAAGGCUUAAUCAUUUGGCUCCCAGAAUGACCAUAAUGAGGCUCCUGGGACCAACCAUAGGUUAAAGAAAAACCAUCUGGUGCUGAGAAUCCAAAGGCAGCGGGAAAUCCUCAACAGGAACUGGAGAGGUUGGAGAAAUAAUAGAGCAGAAGCCACCUGGAAGCAG
rnacentral:lncRNA from 1 species